rnacentral:rRNA from 1 species
UACGGGAGGCAGCAGUGGGGAAUAUUGCACAAUGGGCGAAAGCCUGAUGCAGCUAUGCCGCGUGUAUGAAGAAGGCCUUAGGGUUGUAAAGUACUUUCAUCGGGGAGGAAAAAACAAAACUAAUAAUUUUAUUUCUUGACGUUACCCGAAAAAGAAGCACCGGCUAACUCCGUGCCAGCAGCCGCGGUAAUACGGGAGGGUGCUAGCGUUAAUCAGAAUUACUGGGCGUAAAGAGCACGUAGGUGGUUUUUUUAAGUUCAGAUGUGAAAUCCCUGGGCUUAACCUAGGAACUGCAUUUUGAAACUGAAAUACUAGAGUAUCGUAGAGGAGGUAGAAUUCUAGGUGUAGCGGUGAAAUGCGUAGAUAUCUGGAGGAAUACUUGUGGCGAAAGCGGCCUCCUAAACGAAUACUGACACUGAGGUGCGAAAGC